rnacentral:rRNA from 1 species
AUUGAACGCUGGCGGCAGGCCUAACACAUGCAAGUCGAGCGGAUGAAGGGAGCUUGCUCCUGGAUUCAGCGGCGGACGGGUGAGUAAUGCCUAGGAAUCUGCCUGGUAGCGGGGGAUAACGUCCGGAAACGGGCGCUAAUACCGCAUACGUCCUGAGGGAGAAAGUGGGGGAUCUUCGGACCUCACGCUAUCAGAUGAGCCUAGGUCGGAUUAGCUAGUUGGUGGGGUAAAGGCCUACCAAGGCGACGAUCCGUAACUGGUCUGAGAGGAUGAUCAGUCACACUGGAACUGAGACACGGUCCAGACUCCUACGGGAGGCAGCAGUGGGGAAUAUUGGACCAUGGGCGAAAGCCUGAUCCAGCCAUGCCGCGUGUGUGAAGAAGGUCUUCGGAUUGUAAAGCACUUUAAGUUGGGAGGAAGGGCAGUAAGUUAAUACCUUGCUGUUUUGACGUUACCAACAGAAUAGGCACCGGCUAACUUCGUG